rnacentral:rRNA from 1 species
UGAAGCGGCAACAGCUCAAAUUUGAAAUCUGGCCCCUCCGGGGUCCGAGUUGUAAUUUGUAGAGGAUGCUUCGGGCGCGGGCCCGGUCUAAGUCCGUUGGAACACGGCGCCAUGGAGGGUGAGAACCCCGUACGCGACCGGCGCCCAACCCCAACCGUAGCUCCUUCGACGAGUCGAGUUGUUUGGGAAUGCAGCUCAAAAUGGGUGGUAAAUUUCAUCUAAAGCUAAAUACCGGCCAGAGACCGAUAGCGCACAAGUAGAGUGAUCGAAAGAUGAAAAGCACUUUGGAAAGAGAGUCAAACAGUACGUGAAAUUGUUGAAAGGGAAGCGCUUGCGACCAGACCUGUCCGCGGACGAUCAGCCCCCGUUCUCGGGGGUGCACUCGCCCGCGAUCAGGCCAGCAUCGGUUCGGGCGGUCGGAUAAAGGCCGCGGGAACGUAACUCCUCUCGGGGAGCCUUAUAGCCCGCGGCGGCAUGCGGCCAGCCUGGACCGAGGACCGCGCUUCGGCUAGGAUGCUGGCGUAAUGGUUGUAAGCGGCCCGUCUUGAAACACGGACCAAGGAGUCUAACAGCUCUGCGAGUGUUUGGGUGUCAAACCCAUGCGCGGAAUGAAAGUGAACGCAGGUGAGAGCCCUGAAGGGUGCAUCAUCGACCGAUCCUGAUGUCAUCGGAUGGAUUUGAGUAUGAGCAUAGCUGUUGGGACCCGAAAGAUGGUGAACUAUGCCUGAAUAGAGUGAAGCCAGAGGAAACUCUGGUGGAGGCUCGCAGCGGUUCUGACGUGCAAAUCGAUCGUCAAAUUUGGGUAUAGGGGCGAAAGACUAAUCGAACCAUCUAGUAGUGGUU